CAGAGACCUCAAGCGUUAUCCGGAAUCAUUGGGCAUAAAGCGUACCGAUAGGUGGUUUGCCAAGUCAGAUGUGAAAUCUCCGAGCUCAACUCGGAAUCUGUCAUUUGAAACUGGUAGACUAGAGGGGCAAAGAGGAAGCUGGAACGAACGGUGUAGUAGUGAAAUGCGUUGAUAUCGUUCGGAACACCAAUAGCGAAGGCGGGCUUCUGGGUGCCACCUGACACUGCUAGGACGAAAGCGUGGGUAGCGAAUGGGAUUAGAUACCCCAGUAGUCCACGCUGUAAACGAUGCACAUUCGGUGCUAGGGAGUAUCGACCCUCUUUAGUACCAAAGCUAACGCGUUAAAUGUGCCGCCUGGGGAGUACGGCCGCAAGGCUA
rnacentral:rRNA from 1 species